rnacentral:rRNA from 1 species
GACGGAGGGUGCUAGCGUUGUUCGGAAUUACUGGGCGUAAAGGGCGCGUAGGCGGCCCUGUCAGUCGGGUGUGAAAGCCCGGGGCUCAACCCCGGAACGGCACCCGAGACGGCAGGGCUGGAGACCGGGAGAGGAGGGUGGAAUAGCCAGUGUAGAGGUGAAAUUCGUAGAUAUUGGCUGGAACACCGGUGGCGAAAGCGGCUACUCUGGCCCGGUUCUGACGCUGAGGCGCGAAAGCGUGGGGAGCAAACAGG